AUUGAACGCUGGCGGCAUGCCUUACACAUGCAAGUCGAACGGCAGCGGACCUUCGGGUGCCGGCGAGUGGCGAACGGGUGAGUAAUAUAUCGGAACGUACCUUUCAGUGGGGGAUAACGUAGCGAAAGUUACGCUAAUACCGCAUAUUCUGUGAGCAGGAAAGCAGGGGAUCGCAAGACCUUGCGCUGAUUGAGCGGCCGAUAUCAGAUUAGCUAGUUGGUGAGGUAAAGGCUCACCAAGGCGACGAUCUGUAGCGGGUCUGAGAGGAUGAUCCGCCACACUGGAACUGAGACACGGUCCAGACUCCUACGGGAGGCAGCAGUGGGGAAUUUUGGACAAUGGGGGCAACCCUGAUCCAGCCAUGCCGCGUGAGUGAAGAAGGCCUCGGUUGUAAG
rnacentral:rRNA from 1 species